rnacentral:lncRNA from 11 species
GGAUUACAGAGUACUUUCUUCAGGGAUCAAAUUGUCUCUUCAAGCAAUGCAUGGCUUGCAUUCUGCUUGUGAUCCUACUGAAAUUACAUGAGGUUUGAACAAAAGGAGAAGACCCUCUGGUGAGUGUAAUCUUUCCAGUAUGAUUUUCUUUUAUAAAUAAACUAGGUUUGGGGCUGCA